UGGGGAAUAUUGCACAAUGGGCGCAAGCCUGAUGCAGCCAUGCCGCGUGUGUGAAGAAGGCCUUCGGGUUGUAAAGCACUUUCAGCGGGGAGGAAGGCGUUAAGGUUAAUAACCUUGGCGAUUGACGUUACCCGCAGAAGAAGCACCGGCUAACUCCGUGCCAGCAGCCGCGGUAAUACGGAGGGUGCAAGCGUUAAUCGGAAUUACUGGGCGUAAAGCGCACGCAGGCGGUCUGUCAAGUCGGAUGUGAAAUCCCCGGGCUCAACCUGGGAACUUCAUUCGAAACUGGCAGGCUAGAGUCGUGUAGAGGGGGGUAGAAUUCCAGGUGUAGCGGUGAAAUGCGUAGAGAUCUGGAGGAAUACCGGUGGCGAAGGCGGCCCCCUGGACAAAGACUGACGCUCAGGUGCGAAAGCGUGGGGAGCAAACAGG
rnacentral:rRNA from 1 species